CACGUAGGGGGCGAGCGUUGUCCGGAUUUAUUGGGCGUAAAGAGCUCGUAGGCGGCUCGGUAAGUGAGGCGUGAAAACUCCAGGCUCAACCUGGAGACGCCACCUCAUACUGCCGUGGCUAGAGUCCGGUAGGGGAGCAUGGAAUUCCUGGUGUAGCGGUGAAAUGCGCAGAUAUCAGGAGGAACACCAGUGGCGAAGGCGGUGCUCUGGGCCGGAACUGACGCUCAUGCACGAAAGCGUGGGGAGCAAACAGG
rnacentral:rRNA from 1 species